rnacentral:rRNA from 1 species
UACGGAGGGUGCAAGCGUUAUCCGGAUUCACUGGGUUUAAAGGGUGCGUAGGUGGGCAAGUAAGUCAGUGGUGAAAUCUCCGGGCUUAACCCGGAAACUGCCAUUGAUACUAUUUGUCUUGAAUACUGUGGAGGUCAGCGGAAUAUGUCAUGUAGCGGUGAAAUGCUUAGAUAUGACAUAGAACACCAAUUGCGAAGGCAGCUGGCUACACAAAUAUUGACACUGAGGCACGAAAGCGUAGGGAUCAAACAGG